ensembl:lncRNA
UCCUCAGUUCCACUCAGCGACCUGCUGACCAGUAGUGGCUCUGGAAUGACCUAGUUCCUCAGCUGUACUCAGGAACUGCUUGGGAGAUAAUGACGUGAGGCAUCAAGAGAAGUGAUUUUGAAAUGUGCCAGAUCCUAUUAUUCUGGAAAGCAAUGGAGAAAAAUCAGCGCCAAGUCCCCACUGUAGCUCCCUGAAGAAUGCUUACUGAAAGGUGAAUGGCUGAGACUGAGCAGUAGUUUGUGACACACAGUACCCAGUAUGAUUCUUUCUGAGGUGGGAGUUGAACAGCCCUUUUAGCUUUCCAGACCAGAGUCUCCAGUUUGCCUGAACUGUGCUUUGUUUUUGAGCUCAUUGUAAAGACUCAGAAGGGAAAACACGACAUUUCAGUUAUCCUUUUGCUCCUUCUUUCAGGACCUGCCAGGUGCCUGUUAAGUCUUUGCCAUGAAUCAUUUAUCCUUGAGCUUGUCUGUUUUAUGAGGCCAGCCCAUAGUUGCUGGGGCCACUGUAGUAUCAGGAGACUGGGAACUCCAAAGUGCAGCAGAGCUAAUGAUAUCUUCUUUUCAGCCACAUUCGUACUGGCAAAAUGGAUAUUUUAGAAGCUAUUGUGCUACUGUAAAAGCAAAGGGAUAUGGCUUUAAUGAGGGACUGGAAUGAAUCAGACUUGCUAAUCAGGUAUGCUGUCCAUGUUGCCAGUGCUGCUGCUUUAUGAUAGCAUAAACAGUGCUGAUAGCCAUUAUGUGUAUUUAACAGAGGUGUCUGGUUCUGUGCUACCAUUUUCUUUGCAGCAGAGCUAGAACUGUUUUCCAAUGAAUUGUAGAUCAUCUUCCCUUCCAAGGAGUCAGAACAGUUCAGAGAGUCAGUCGGGUGUGUGCAAACUUGACUUCAUUCACGGGAAACUAAACUGUAGGUUCUCUUCCCAAUAAGCACCAAAUGUUUUCCAGAAGUCACUGAAGACGCAGGAAUGCAACACAAUGACUUGUUCGCUACAGCACAAGGCCUCCUGCGCAUGCCAAGUGUCUUAGUUUCAGUUUUGAUGGAAUUGUUUUCUUCAGAGUGUCUGGUGUGCUGCUGCGUUUUUGGUUCUAGGAGAAAAACAGUGCUGAUAACUCACCGAUGUUUAUAGUUGCUGCUAAGCAAUGUUGUACAGAACCAAGUACAUUCACUGCAAGAAGCCCAAGGAGCUGGGAGGGACAUAAUUAGGACAGCUGACUUAAAUUGGCCAUAGGGAUAUUCCAUACCAUAUGACAUCAUGUGGAAGGUGUUUUGAAAGAAUGGGAGUUCAUCUCACUCUCUUCCACUGCUCAAGGGGCUAGCUAAACAUCAGUCGGCAGAUGGUGAGAAAUUGCUUGUGCAUCGUGUGUUACAUAUAUUCAUAUAUAUAUAUAUAUGUAUAUACCAUUUUCCUUUUCUCUAUCUUAUUAAAUAGUUUUAACUCACAAGUUCUACUUUGUUUUUUCCAAUUCUCUUCCCCACCCCACUUGGAGGGUGGGAGUGAGUGAACAACUGUCUGGUGCUCAGCCACCUUCCAGGUUAAACCACAACACCAAGCAUGCCUGUGCCAUUUGAAUAUUUAGAAACCAACAGGAGGUCAUGAAAUGUUCAGAAGAGCUCUUUUAUUGUAUGACAAUCCAUUAGAUUUGUAUGCCUUUAUAUUUACCGUUGAUUAUACAGCCAUCUCUUCAUUCAAGAUCCUUUCUCUUCUUUAACUGCUUUAUCUUUGGUUGUUUUCUACCCUUUCUGUUUUUGUAUUCUAUGACUCUUGAAGAAUUAUACCUCUUUUCUUCCUGUAGAAAUGGCAAUAUACCACCCUUUAUUCUCACAGAAGUUCCAGAAAGGUGCAUCAGACAUCAAUCUGUGCCCCCAAAGGCCAGAACUUUCACUGAAGUCAGGAUAGAACUUCAUUAUCAGCAACUGAAGAAAUCCACUAACCUCAUGACUGCAAUCACAUACACAAUGACCAUAUUAAAAUCAAGAAGAUUAAGUCCCUUUUAUUGAAGACACAGGACAAUAAGUUUCAUUUGGAGGUGUGCCCCUACUACAGAGUCUUCAUAAAUAUGGUCUGGUGAGAACACCGGACUGAGCCAGUCGCUAUUUUGGAGGCUACACCAUGUGUCUUGUAUUCAUUAUAAGCGACACCCUGAUAGGCAACACUUCCCUUGGAGCUAAUUCAGGUCCUAACUCAUGAGCACCACAGAAGACAUCUGCAAAGGACUAUCUGAGGACUCUAUCAUGGUCUGCAUCAGGAACACCCUCUGCUUCAGAUACCAACCAGGG